AAAACAAAGUACUUCUUGGCUGAGGCAAUGCAUGCUUUUGAUGCUGCAUCCGAGAAGGAACUGAGUUUGACAGUUGGUGAUUAUGUUGUUGUGAGCCUAUCGGGAUGGUCAGAAGGAGAAUGCAGAGGUAAAGCAGGCUGGUUUCCAUCAGAACAUGUGGAGAAACGCCUGAGGAUUCCCACCAGUAGUGCAUCUGCUGAAGUUUUUUGAGCUGUGUGGGUACUUGAUU